rnacentral:lncRNA from 1 species
GUAGGCAGGUGGAGAGGGGAUGGGGGAGGUCUCAGGUCCUCUUGCUCACCCAUCAGCUGUGUAGUGUCUGAAGUGAUUAAGGAGCUUGGGGAGAAUGCUGGAAGCCAAGCUUGCACAUUCUAGGCAGCCAUUUGGAAGAUUCUUCUCUGCGCAUGACCAGCUGAAAAGGAAAAACCCCGAAACAUUGGCACUGUGAUUUCUCCAUGUGAACAGUUUAGUUCGCCGAGGUGGACAUGCCUCAUUCAUGCUUAUGGAGUGACCGACCAGCCUUUAGUGACACCCCCUGAAAUGUGAGUCAUCCAUGGGUCACUAGUCAUUGGAGAAGAGCCCCUUAUACAAAACUUGGAGCUCAGACCACAAACAACAACAACAAUCCAAAAAAUAAAAAAAUGAAAAAUUAGGAGCAGAGACUAAAUGGAAAGAUG